rnacentral:rRNA from 1 species
AGUGAAUAGAUACCCCGGUAGUCCUAGCCGUAAACGAUACUCGCUAGGUGUCGGCCACGGUGCGACCGUUGUCGGUGCCGUAGGGAAAGCCGUGAAGCGAGCCACCUGGGAAGUACGGCCGCAAGGCUGAAACUUAAAGGAAUUGGCGGGGGAGCACCACAACGGGUGGAGCUUGCGGUUUAAUUGGAUUCAACGCCGGAAAUCUUACCGGGACCGACAGCAAUAUGAAGGCCAGGCUGAAGACUUUGCCGGAUUAGCUGAGAGGUGGUGCAUGGCCGUCGUCAGUUCGUACUGUGAAAGCAUCCUGUUAAGUCAGGCAACGAGCGAGACCCACGCCCACAGUUGCCAGCGUACUCUCCGGAGUGACGGGUACACUGUGGGGACCGCCGCUGCUAAAGCGGAGGAAGGAAUGGGCAACGGUAGGUCAGUAUGCCCCGAAUAUCCCGGGCUACACGCGAGCUACAAUGGUUGGUACAAUGGGUAUCUACCCCGAAAGGGGAUGGUAAUCUCCUAAAGCCAAUCUUAGUUCGGAUUGAGGGCUGCAACUCGCCCUC